AACGAACGCUGGCGGCAUGCCUAACACAUGCAAGUCGAACGAGACCUUCGGGUCUAGUGGCGCACGGGUGCGUAACGCGUGGGAACCUGCCUUUAGGUUCGGAAUAACUCAGAGAAAUUUGAGCUAAUACCGGAUGAUGUCUUCGGACCAAAGAUUUAUCGCCUUUAGAUGGGCCCGCGUUGGAUUAGCUAGUUGGUGGGGUAAAGGCCUACCAAGGCGACGAUCCAUAGCUGGUCUGAGAGGAUGAUCAGCCACACUGGGACUGAGACACGGCCCAGACUCCUACGGGAGGCAGCAGUGGGGAAUAUUGGACAAUGGGCGAAAGCCUGAUCCAGCAAUGCCGCGUGAGUGAUGAAGGCCUUAGGGUUGUAAAGCUCUUUUACCCGAGAUGAUAAUGACAGUAUCGGGAGAAUAAGCGCCGGCUAACUCCCUG
rnacentral:rRNA from 1 species